rnacentral:rRNA from 1 species
AUGCUUCGACAUAUUUUGGAUGUAGGCACGUUUAAGUAUUUGAAUAGAUUAUGCUAUCUGAACAUGUCACAAUUGAGUUCCGAUGAGUUCGAAGAUGACGCCGAUGACCCAACAGAAAUUUUCUCUCUAGAAGAUUACUUGGCACAACAGAAUACUCUCAACAACUUUGCUACACAAAUAGCCACAAACAUUCAUGAUGCACUAGGAGUUCCAAGUACUAGGUGUCGGUCAGCCCCUAGGACAUAUAUUGUCAGGAAGAGAGAAUUUUACAGUGAACUUCUCAUAGCAGAUUACUUCUGUGAUAAUCCUACCUAUCCUGAUUACUACUUCCGUAGAAGGUUCCGCAUGGGAAAACCCCUUUUUCUACGCAUUGUUCAAGCUCUUGGUGAGUGGUCUCCCUACUUCACUCAAAGGGUAGAUGCCCUGGGCCGUCCAGGUCUAUCACCUUUAUAG